rnacentral:lncRNA from 10 species
GCACUUGUGACACUGAAUUGUUAGUACCACAUUUGCAACUCAGGUGAUUAAAGAGUUACCUUCCAGUGUCUCAAAAAUUCAAUUGUAGGAACAGAAAAAUACAAAACCAAAGUAAGGUAUUGUUAUGCUGUCCAGCACAGGCUGGUGUCUAACUCCUGGAUUAAAGCCAUCCUCCCUCCUCAGCUUCUCGAGUAUCUGGGACUACAGG